rnacentral:tRNA from 1 species
GGAUAGGUUGUAAAAGGUUUACAGUUUGAUUGCAAAUCAAACAAUGGGGUUCGACUCCUCCCUAUCCC